rnacentral:misc_RNA from 1 species
AUGAAUUUUGGAGUUCUAACUGUGCCUGCCGUUCAUUCGGAUGUGUGCACGUAGUCUCUAUAAAUCCUUAUCAAACACCUGUGCACCUUUAAAAAAAGGGGGGAGUCUGAUUAAGCAUUUUAUUUUAUAUGAUGCUUAUGACGAAUAACCUCUUUUUCUUAUACAAACUCUUUUAAAUGUCUAUUAGAAUGUUCUCUGGCCGCAAGGCUAUAAAAUAUAAA